CAUAAACUUAUAAUACUAACAUUUUUAACCAUUUAUAUUAAAACAUAAUAACCUUUAUACACAUCCUAUGUACAUCACAUUACCAAAAGAAAAUAUACAUCACCAAAGUUAUGCUGAAGUCGGGAUUGAUUUGGAUGCUGAACCGGAAUUUUUUACUUCUAUCAACCUGCGCACGGAAACAACCGUACAUUCAAAUUUAAAUUUAAAUUUCAUAUUUCAACAAUAGCAAUUCAUCAAUUGAUAUCAUACAUCCACAAUUUGAAUUUGGACAUAUCAUGAACCUUAGGUUCAUUUCUCAAUCUCAUAUCACAUUUCAAUUCACAAUUCAACCUUUUCAUUUCAUUUCAGUAGCUCAUUUGAUCAACUAGUUCGGUUUAUCAUUUCAUCAUUUACCCUAUUAACAAAACUCGGACUUUGGCGGAUACACGGAUCCAACCAAACACACCAGAAUGGCACUCAGUGCCUCAUCGUAACUAUCCGAAGAAAUAUAGUGACACCCAGUGUCUCAUCGACUCGAGGUCGAAGUAUCCCUGAACUCUUCCAAUCCUAUGGCAUGCCAACUAUAUCCGACUCAGCCCGACUAGUUAAUAGGGUAUUUAAAUUACAUAUAACUCCAAUUCAAUCAUAAUUUCUCACAUUUUCAAUUCAAUCAUUUUUCCACCUUUCAAUCAAUAAUUAAUCCAAAAAUUCACACAUUUCACAACUCAAUACAUUUCCAUACAAUUUAAUACCAUUCACAAUUCGAUUCAAAUUCAUUUCCCGCUUUUAAUCAACAAACAAUUCAAAUAUUAAUUCAUAUAAACUAUUCAAUUUAAUUCUCACUCAUCAUCAUCAUCAUCAUCAUCAUAAUAAUAAUAAUAAUAAUAAUAAUAAUAAUAAUACUUACCUCACAUUUCAUUUACCAAACACAUAAAUUAAAAUUUAAGAUUUAAUAAUAAAUAACUUGAAUUAUAGUAAGACAAACCGUGAUUUUCUCGAGUUUACUCCUCGAUAAUCUUCUCUUUUCCCUUCCGUGCCGAUGCUUCUGGUUCUUUGCUAGCUACGAAAAUAAUAAUAAUUUACACUAUUAAUUUCAGCACUAAUUAUGAUAAAUAAUUAAAUUUCUAUUCAAUUUCUUCCUUAUUCUCAAUUUAAUCCUAACUAAGUUCACUUACUUUCCUAAUUCAAUUCACACUCUAUUUCUAUUCAAAUUUCAUCCAAACUCAAAUGUAACUAUUAAAAUUUUAGCAUAUUUUCCUAAUUUCGAAUUUCUCUCAAUUUAAUCCCUAAAACAUAAAAAUUAUAGUUUCUUUUACAAUUUAAUCCUUUUAUCAAUUCUAACUUGAAAUUCAUUCAAUUAAAUCCCUAAUUCAUCUCUUUUGUUCAACAUAAACUAUACUUGAAAACCUAUAAACUUACAAAAUAUCAACUUAAUUCCAUCAAAACCUUAUUUUAAGACUUCUAAAACAUCAAAAUUAAAAGAAAAGGACUUGAUUGACUUACCUUUAAAGCUUUAAAACCUUAAACCCUAGUUUUUCCUUUCUUUCUCUUUUUUCUUUUUCUUUCUUUCUUUCGCCCCUGUUCCUUCUCUGUUUCGUCCC
rnacentral:lncRNA from 1 species